ACGGACGCUGGCGGCGUGCUUAACACAUGCCAGUCGAACGGAAAGGCCCUGCUUUUGUGGGGUGCUCGAGUGGCGAACGGGUGAGUAACACGUGAGUAACCUGCCCUUGACUUUGGGAUAACUUCAGGAAACUGGGGCUAAUACCGGAUAGGAGCUCCUGCUGCAUGGUGGGGGAUGGAAAGUUUCGGCGGUUGGGGAUGGACUCGCGGCUUAUCAGCUUGUUGGUGGGGUAGUGGCUUACCAAGGCUUUGACUGGUAGCCGGCCUGAGAGGGUGACCGGCCACAUUGGGACUGAGAUACGGCCCAGACUCCUACGGGAGGCAGCAGUGGGGAAUAUGGCACAAUGGGCGGAAGCCUGAUGCAGCAACGCCGCGUGCGGGAUGACGGCCUUCGGGUUGUAAACCGCUUUCGCCUGUGACGAAGCGUGAGUGACGGUAAUGGGUAAAGAAGCACCGGCUAACUACGUG
rnacentral:rRNA from 1 species